UUGAUCCUGGCUCACGAUGAACGCGAGCGGCGCGCUUAAUGCAUGCAAGUCGAGCGAUGAGGCCUCUUCGGGGGGUACAUCAGCGGCAGACGGGUGAGUAACACGUAGGUGAUCUACCCCAGAGACGGGGAUAACGGGUGGAAACAUCCGCUAAUACCGGAUAGGCUUGUUCGGUCAAAGGGACAAGGAAAGGCUCCGGCGCUCUAGGAGGAGCCUGCGGCCCAUCAGCUAGUUGGCGGGGUAACGGCCCACCAAGGCAAAGACGGGUAGGGGGUGUGAGAGCAUGGCCCCCCACAAUGGGACUGGAACACGGCCCAUACUCCUACGGGAGGCAGCAGCAGGGAAUAUUGCACAAUGGACGGAAGUCUGAUGCAGCGACGCCGCGUGGAUGAAGAAGGCCCUCGGGUUGUAAAAUCCUUUACAGGGGGAAGAGGAAGGACGGUACCCCUGGAACAAGUGUCGGCUAACUACGUGCCAGCAGCCGCGGUAAGACGUAGGACACAAGCGUUAUCCGGAUUUACUGGGCGUAAAGCGUCUGCAGGCGGACAGGUAAGUUGGGCGUGAAAGCUCCGGGCCCAACCCGGAGAGGUCGUUCAAUACUGCGUGUCUAGAGGGUGUCAGAGGGGAGUGGAAUUUCCGGAGUAGCGGUAAAAUGCGCAGAGAUCGGAAAGAACACCAAUGGCGAAGGCAGCUCCCUGGGGCAACCCUGACGCUAAGAGACGAAAGCUAGGGGAGCGAACAGGAUUAGAGACCCUGGUAGUCCUAGCCCUAAACGAUGGAUGCUGGAUGUGGGGCCAUAGCGCUCCGUGUCGAAGCGAACGCGUUAAGCAUCCCGCCUGGGGACUACGGCCGCAAGGUUAAAACUCAAACGAAUUGACGGGACCCGCACAAGCAGCGGAGCGUGUGCGUUAAUUCGAUGCUACA
rnacentral:rRNA from 1 species